GAUGAACGCUGGCGGCGUGCCUAAUACAUGCAAGUCGAGCGAACAGACGAGGAGCUUGCUCCUUCGACGUUAGCGGCGGACGGGUGAGUAACACGUAGGUAACCUACCUAUAAGACUGGGAUAACUUCGGGAAACCGGAGCUAAUACCGGAUAAUAUUUCGAACCGCAUGGUUCGAUAGUGAAAGAUGGCUUUGCUAUCACUUAUAGAUGGACCUGCGCCGUAUUAGCUAGUUGGUAAGGUAACGGCUUACCAAGGCAACGAUACGUAGCCGACCUGAGAGGGUGAUCGGCGACACUGGAACUGAGACACGGUCCAGACUCCUACGGGAGGCAGCAGUAGGGAAUCGUCCGCAAUGGGCGAAAGCCUGACGGAGCAACGCCGCGUGAGUGAUGAAGGUCUUCGGAUCGUAAAACUCUGUUAUUAGGGAAGAACAAACGUGUAAGUAACUGUGCACGGCUUGACGGUACCUAAUCAGAAAGCCACGGCUAACUACGUG
rnacentral:rRNA from 1 species